rnacentral:rRNA from 1 species
UACAGAGGGUGCGAGCGUUAAUCGGAAUUACUGGGCGUAAAGCGCGCGUAGGCGGCUUUGCAAGUCGGGUGUGAAAUCCCCAGGCUUAACCUGGGAACUGCAUUCGAGACUGCAUUGCUAGAGUAUGGGUGAGGGAAGUGGAAUUUCCGGUGUAGCGGUGAAAUGCGUAGAUAUCGGAAGGAACAUCAGUGGCGAAAGCGACUUCCUGGACCAAUACUGACGCUCAUGUGCGAAAGCGUGGGGAGCAAACAGG